rnacentral:rRNA from 1 species
GAAUCUUGCACAAUGGGGGCAACCCUGAUGCAGCGACGCCGCGUGAGCGAUGAAGCCCUUCGGGGUGUAAAGCUCUUUCGGCAGGGACGAUACUGACGGUACCUGCAGAAGCAGCUGCGGCUAACUACGUGCCAGCAGCCGCGGUAAUACGUAGGCAGCGAGCGUUGUUCGGAGUUACUGGGCGUAAAGGGUGCGUAGGCGGCCGAUUAAGUUUGUCGUGAAAUCUCCCGGCUUAACUGGGAGGGUGCGGCGAAUACUGACCGGCUCGAGUGUGGGAGAGGAGAGUGGAAUUCCUGGUGUAGCGGUGAAAUGCGUAGAUAUCAGGAGGAACACCGGCGGUGUAGACGGCUCUCUGGACCAUAACUGACGCUGAGGCACGAAAGCGUGGGUAGCAAACAGG